UCAAUAGCCUAACGGCUGAACCAGCAACUUGGAGGAAUGUAUAGCGAAAGCUAGUUUUAAAACUAUUUUUAAGACAUCGAUUUACUCGAAUAAAAUUCUAAGCAAAAUAUGAUAAUGACAUAUUUUGUUACAUGUCUUGACGAACUACGUGCCAGCAGUCGCGGUAAUACGUAGGAGACUAGUGUUAUUCAUCUUUAAUAGGUUUAAAGGGUACCUAGACGGUAAAUCAAGCCUAAAAAACAAAAAGGGACUAAUUUACUAGAGUUACUUCUGAGGGGGCUUUCAAGUACUGGUGAGUGUAGAGAUGAAAUUCUUUGAUACCUUUGUUCGGUAGAAUGGAAAUGGCACGGAUUAAGGCGUAAGCAUCUCCUUAUGUGAUAACUGACGUUGAGGGACGAAGGCUUCAUAAAACAAAAAGGAUUAGGUACCCAAGUAGUCGAAGCAGACAAUGAUGAGUGUCAUAGAUUAGAUAUUAAUUUAUUCUAUAAAUGAUAGUGUAAGCACUCCACCUCAAGAGUAAUUUGGCAACAUUGGAACUGAAAUCAUUAGACCGUUUCUGAAACCAGUAGUGAAGUAUGUUGUUUAAUUUGAUGAUCCGCAAAAAACCUUACCAGGGCGUCGUAGUUACGCUGUAGUUAACAGUUAACACUGUUCUGUCACUAGUAUAUUCAUAUUAUUAAUAUGAAUACAAGCGCUGCACGGCUGUCUUCAGUUAAUGUCGUGAGACCAUGGUUAGCUCCAUUAAAUUAACGUAAACCCUUGCUUUAUUUUUUAACAUAAAGUAGUUCUCUGAAAUAUUGGAUAAGAUAAUAGGGACUAAGACAAGUCAUCAUGGCCAUAAAUGUGCUGGCUACAAAGG
rnacentral:rRNA from 1 species